UGGGGAAUAUUGCACAAUGGGCGCAAGCCUGAUGCAGCCAUGCCGCGUGUGUGAAGAAGGCCUUCGGGUUGUAAAGCACUUUCAGCGAGGAGGAAGGUGGUGAGCUUAAUACGCUCAUCAAUUGACGUUACUCGCAGAAGAAGCACCGGCUAACUCCGUGCCAGCAGCCGCGGUAAUACGGAGGGUGCAAGCGUUAAUCGGAAUUACUGGGCGUAAAGCGCACGCAGGCGGUUUGUUAAGUCAGNUGUGAAAUCCCCGGGCUCAACCUGGGAACUGCAUUUGAAACUGGCAAGCUAGAGUCUCGUAGAGGGGGGUAGAAUUCCAGGUGUAGCGGUGAAAUGCGUAGAGAUCUGGAGGAAUACCGGUGGCGAAGGCGGCCCCCUGGACGAAGACUGACGCUCAGGUGCGAAAGCGUGGGGCAGCAAACAGGAUUAGAUACCCUGGUAGUCCACGCUGUAAACGAUGUCGAUUUUGGAGGUUGUGCCCUUGAGGCGUGGCUUCCGGAGCUAACGCGUUAAAUCGACCGCCUGGGGAGUACGGCCGCAAGGUU
rnacentral:rRNA from 1 species